AGAGUUUGAUCCUGGCUCAGGAUGAACGCUGGCGGCGUGUCUAAGGCAUGCAAGUCGAAUGGGUUUAGACCCAUGGCAAACGGGUGAGUAACACACUGGUAACCUACCUCGAAGUUUGGCAUAACUCUGCGAAAGUAGAGAUAAUUCCAAAUGUGCUGCAAUUUCAUAAGUUAUUGUAGUAAAGAUUCAUCGCUUCGAGAGGGGCCUAUGGCCUAUCAGCUUGUUGGUGCGGUAAUGGCGCACCAAGGCUACGACGGGUAGCGGGCGUGAGAGCGUGACCCGCCUCACUGGGACUGAGACACUGCCCAGACUCCUACGGGAGGCUGCAGUCAAGAAUCUUCCACAAUGGGCGAAAGCCUGAUGGAGCGACGCCGCGUGACCGAAGAAGCCCCUCGGGGUGUAAAAGUCUUUUAUUAGGGACGAAUCAAUGACGGUACCUAAUGAAUAAGGGGCUGCUAAACACGUGCCAGCAGCAGCGGUAAUACGUGUGCCCCAAGCGUUAUCCGGAUUUAUUGGGCGUAAAGAGUCUGUAGGCGGUUUAUUAAGUUUAACGUCAAAUCCUGAUGCUCAACAUCAGGACUGCGUUAAAUACUAUUAGACUAGAGGAUGGGAGAGGCAGAUGGAAUUGCCGGUGUAGCGGUAAAAUGCGUUAAUAUCGGCAAGAACACCAAAUGCGAAGGCUUUCUGCUAGAACACUCCUGACGCUGAGAGACGAAAGCGUGGGUAGCGAAUGGGAUUAGAUACCCCAGUAGUCCACGCCGUAAACGAUGGAUGCUAGACAUUGGCAGUAUCGACCCUGCCAGUGUCGUUUAACCAAGUUAACACCUUAAGCAUCCCGCCUGGGUAGUACGA
rnacentral:rRNA from 1 species